rnacentral:rRNA from 1 species
GUCUAUGGCCAUGCUACCCUGAACAAGCCCGAUCCCGUCUGAUCUCGGAAGCUAAGCAGGGUUGGGCCUGGUUAGUACUUGGAUGGGAGACCACCUAGGAAGACCAGGUGCUGUAGGUG